UACGUAGGGGGCGAGCGUUGUCCGGAUUUAUUGGGCGUAAAGAGCUCGUAGGCGGUUUGGCAAGUCGGGUGUGAAAACUCCGGGCUCAACUCGGAGACGCCACUCGAUACUGCUAUGACUCGAGUCCGGUAGGGGAGUGCGGAAUUCCUGGUGUAGCGGUGAAAUGCGCAGAUAUCGGGAGGAACACCGGUGGCGAAGGCGGUUCUCUGGGCCUGACCUGACGCUGAGGAGCGAAAGCGUGGGGAGCGAACAGG
rnacentral:rRNA from 1 species